rnacentral:misc_RNA from 1 species
AAGGAUCAUUACUGAGUUAGGGUCUUCUAGGCCCGACCUCCAACCCUUUGCCUACCUUACCUCUUGUUGCUUCGGCUGGCCCGUCCCCCCUAGAAAUAGGGGUCGACCGCCGGAGGGUUUACACCCUCUGGCCCGCGCCCGCCGAUGGCCCUCAACCAAAACUCUUGUUCAAUCGUGAAUUGUCUGAGUACAAAAAACAAAAUAAACCAAAAACUUUCAACAACGGAUCUCUUGGUUCUG